UUCAUAUCUUGUCCAUAUCGCGUCCGUCCGUCUAAGACCAGUUCUGUACCCAAAAAUGACGUGCAAAAUAGGUAUACUAUUUUGACGUCAAACUAUGAGGUCCAUUAGACGUCUGAAUAUAGUUAAUCAUUUACCCAAUGGGGACUGCCUAAACAGAUGUGUCAAAAAAAAUAACACAUUGGGAUGUGUAGACAGCAUUGACAGAUUAUGUGUCAUUUUUGUGUAAGAUUUCACAGAAUGUGUGAAACCUGAAGUUAAGAGAUUCAUUUCUGGGUCGUGCUACAACAAGUGAGAAACUAACGGCCGUUUGGCUGUCCAAUCGCGUGACUGUGGACAUUUGAAAGCAGACUUCCGCCCGCCUUUUCUACCGUUGGAAAUGCAAGAUGCGGCGACUUGACUUCAGACACCGAGAGAGGCUGGCGGCCCAGGUCUUGUGGCCACAUCUGUCCAAGCUCCUACUCUGAUUGAACAGUUGGAUGAUCAGACUGAUGAUGAAAAGUGCUACACAGUUCUCACACAUCUUCUGACUCCGAAGCCGCUGCAGUGUAAAAUCUGAGAUGUCUUUUCUGGUUGAUUUUGUGCAGAUUUCUGACAGCGACAGCGAUGGUGAGGGAAGCAGUGUACCGAACUCUCAGAUGACUCGGACCAGGUGACCAAACCCAUGCAAAGCACAAUGACUGUGCUGAGGCGUUCCGCCCCCCUCCCCCUCCACACCACUCAAGGCACGGCGGCGGCCCAACCGCAAACUAACGGAGAUUAACAUGAGGCUGGAUGCGCUUGGCUCCCUGCUGCGUCCAUCACCAGAGGGGCCGGGAUUGCUGCGGCAGCUAGCCAAUUAAAGGAGGAGGAUGAAGGAGAGGAGUCUGACGAUGCCGACAUCGCCAUCGUAUGCAGUCCACGCCCUCGCAGGAAAACCAGCCAAUGAAAACGCUUGCAGCAGCAUCAGCAGAACACACCGGCACGACUGACAGAGCUUCUGAAGCAUGCAGUGGAAGACCUGUCAGUCAAGCUAAAGGUCCCGCCCUCCAACCUGCUGCUGCUGCACGGAGAGGCGGAACUUAACACCUCACACACUAUUGGCCAGCUAGGACUCUGCAUCGCUGACAUCUUUGUCUGGAACCAACUUCACAUCCCUCUUCACUGCACUACUGACACUGAGAUGGAAUCCACAACCCAACCACUAGUGGUCUGCAUUGGGAACCUGAAGAGUCUGUCAUAACCGCCAGGAAUGACCGUGUGACCAUUCCCGUUGCAGACGGCCUGACUUGCACAAUUGACAAGCUGUUCAAGCUUUACUGGGUCUGCAACUUGUUAUAUCCAGCACAGCUCAGCUCUGUUUUCACCUUCUUUGAAUAUGUUUAUGACGUUCCCAUCUCAACCAACAAACGAACAAAGGCACUACAACUUCUCUCAAAGCUUCCCAGCAGAAUUAUUUUGAUUAUCAUUUUGGCAACACUUUAUUUUAUCAUUACAUCUAUUAGCUCUAAUACAUAGUGUUAAUGCCUGUAUGCUGUAUAAGUAACUUGUAAGGCAUGCACUAAGCAAAAUCAAACAUACGUUAGGCAUGUAUUCGCAAAUGCCUUGUUCAUGCACAAUUUGGGAUUUAUCACCUAAUAUAACUUCAGUAAGGACCUAACAAAUGUUUGAUUUCGCUUAGUACAUGCCUUACAAGUUACUUAUACAGGCAUUAACCCAUUGAUGCUGGAUGUUGGGUUGUGCAACAUUGGCCCUGGCGCCUGGAGUUUUGUAUGGCAUCAGCACCCUUUUCUGCAAGUGCUUUAGGCAUCAAUGGGUUAACAUUGUAUGUAUUAGUGCUAAGCUAUGUAAUGUUAAAAUAAAGUGUUACCAUCAUAUUUUUAAAAAAUAUAUGUUGUAAAACUGGACGAUUGUGAAAUGAUAUGAUGUGGCAGAUGUAAGACCCAUUGAUGUAAUGCAGAGUUUUCAUUCAGAUGAACUGUCUCUUAACCCAAGGUACAAUGUCUUUUCUUCCAAUAUGUUGGAUCCUACAGUAUUUCAUAAGAAAGUUUUCAAGAGUAUUUAACACUACUUCGAAUUUCAAGACUUUUGGGUUUUGUAAUACACCGGUAAUGUUGUUAAGAGAUGAUAGUGUACGAGUCAUAAUCAUCAAUACUUCAUGAAAUUCGCAGUGGUGUUAAUUAUUCUUGAAAAAGAUCACAUUUGUUAUCUCCCCCUCUUCUGAAAAUAAUAUGACAGUAAAGUUAAUGUAAUACAAUUUUUUUUUUUAUUGAAUGUAAACACAACUCUACAAAAAAAAAACGUUGCAGAGGUAUGUAGUCAAGACUUUUGAAGAUUUAACCUUGUAAACAAAAGUGUUUGCUAAAUAAAAGUAAACCCCCCCCUGUCACUUUCCAUGUGAUAAUUGUCUGUAUAUUUUGAAAACUAGAAGUUUCAAGGUUUUUAAUGCUGUCACUUAAAUGUUUGAAUGACAACUCACAGAGUUAAUUUAAAGUCAAAAAGACGUCCACAAAGAGUGAUGUCCCAUUUGCUAUAAGACAUUUUAUUUAUUUUAGCAACAGAUUAGAACAUUUGAGUGAUCUGAAUGGGAGGCAGUGAUGAGGUUACUUCAGUUCUGAAGCAGUCGAUACAAUUAACAAGAAAUGCUAUUUUGCAUUGUGUUGCAUACAUGGAGCAUCAAAGGACUUUUUAAAGAUUGUGCACAAAGUCUGGCAUAGGUGAGACUGUGUGUACCAUUUGUCUUAAGAUGGGAUUUGUUCGAAUCUCAACUGUCUUGCUUUUCAAGAACCCUUUACCCUUAA